rnacentral:rRNA from 1 species
GACAGAGGGUGCAAACGUUGUUCGGAAUUACUGGGCGUAAAGCGUGUGUAGGCGGUUUGCUAAGUCGGGUGUGAAAGCCCCGGGCUCAACCCGGGAAGUGCACUCGAAACUGGCAGGCUAGAGUACUGGAGAGGUUGGUGGAAUUCUCGGUGUAGAGGUGAAAUUCGUAGAUAUCGAGAGGAACACCGGUGGCGAAGGCGGCCAACUGGACAGAUACUGACGCUGAGACACGAAAGCGUGGGGGAGCAAACAGG